AAUCAACGCUGGCGGCGUGCCUAACACAUGCAAGUCGAACGCGAAAGCCCGCAAGGGUAAGUAGAGUGGCGCACGGGUGAGUAACACGUGGACAACCUGCCUUCGAGUGGGGAAUAACCUUCCGAAAGGAGGGCUAAUACCGCAUAACACCUCGGGACACAAGUUCUGGGGUUGAAAAGAGCAAUUUGCUCGAAGAGGGGUCCGCGCCUGAUUAGCUAGUUGGUGAGGUAACGCUCACCAAGGCUUCGAUCAGUAGCCGUCCUGAGAGGGAGCACGGCCACACUGGAACUGAGACACGGUCCAGACUCCUACGGGAGGCAGCAGUGGGGAAUUUUUGGCAAUGGGCGAAAGCCUGACCAAGCAACGCCGCGU
rnacentral:rRNA from 1 species